GUCCAGGGAUGGGAAACGAACCCACAGUGUUCCGCUUACUGGGCAGAUGCUAUGUCCUCUAGGCUACCCUGGA
rnacentral:tRNA from 1 species